CUGUUUGACGACUACCGUGAAGAAGAUUUUUAUGGGCUACCACGGAAAUACAGUAUUGUCGCUCGGGUAGAAGUUAAAUUCCCGAAGGAACCACGUUUCCGUGACAGACAACAUUUCGUUUUAUCUGACAUCAAUGGAGCCAAGAUCGAGGCCAUAACAUAUAUGUAUGAGACAGUCAAACAUUUCGACAAUUUGCUCCAUGAAAAGCAUGUUUACAAGAUGCAUAAUGUAAAGUUCAGUCUUCAUCCGGGUGAAUUUAAUUUUCGUCAUCUAAAUGGUCCCAUGGAAUUGUGUCUUGACCAACAAACUAUCGUGGAGCCAUACACUGUUCCAAUUCAAAUGGCGCCAUUCCCAAAACAAAUACUCUUGAACCUUGCUGAUAUUGCCGAGUUGCCAAACAGGACUUUAGUCGACAUUAUGGCUGUUGUAGUCCACUUGGAUACAAUACAACGCACAAUGUGGGGCCCUUUCAGAAAGAUUGUUAUAAUGAAU